rnacentral:ncRNA from 1 species
UCGAGCCGGAUGAUGAAAAAUUAUCAUGUCCGGUUCUUUCGGAGGAUGGAUUUUUUAAGAUUCACCUAUCCCAAU